CUGCGUUUGGUGUCCCAUCCCCCCACCUGAUCUCAGCGCCUGCCCCUUCCUCUUGCCCGGGAAUCCUUCUCCCUUAAUCAAUUUCGUGUGUGUGUGUUUCCAUAUACCCCACACCAGGGGCUGACCCUCCAAGGCUUAUCCACCCCUCCCCACGCAUUACAGGCAGAGCUUGGGCCAGCCAAGUGGACCUGGGUAGGUGGGAGCUUCCCAGAGCUCCAAAAUAAGGGAGACCCCGACGGACGUGCAGAAACAGGCCCAAAGAGGAUGAAUCAGAGAGCAGCCUUAGAGAGGGUCGAGCCGCCGCACCCAGACGCAGAGUGGGUGGUCUCCAGACUCCGAAGGCGGGCUUUGGAGCGGAGGAGCGCUGGGCGGGGUGGGGGCCCGAACUGCACCCUUGAGCGCCAGGAUGUUGAGACUCUAACUUCCUGCCCAGAAAACAAUGGGGCUGAGAGGAAGGGAAAAUGGGCUUACGCCCCACAACAGACCAACCAACACCUGGCCCUGCUGUAUCCUCACCACAUAAGGAAUUACCCUGUAUAGCAAACCACCCCCUCCCCUUGCAAGCCGCCUUCUGCUUUUACCCCAAUAAAAAUCCCCCUCGUCCAGUACUGGACGCGACUUCUCUGGCCCCUUUCUCUCGGACCAGUGAACCUCGCCCGGGAGCGCUCCCUAAUAAAGCUCACUUGAAGCUUUCCUCUGUUUCGCGGUGCCGUUUGUUAAGAUCCGACCUUACAGUGCCUCGAGGGUCUUUUGCUUUUUCUGAGAUCACUGGCUGCCCUACUGACGCUCAGGUCACUAACUCCCCUCCCAGCGCCCCCGCUCGUCACCACGCCCCGCGCGCCGGUCCCAGGAGUGGUGACCUGAGAGGCCUGAGGCUUGGCCGCUCUCUUCUUCGCUGUUCGGCCUGGGGUGCUUCCUGCCCAAGUCGUUGGGCUUUGGUGACCGACAACGACUUCCUUGCCUUGGCUGGACACACACGGGCCGCCUUCUCCGUUACUCCCCCUCCACCUCAGGCUGCUUGGUCCCCAGCCAGGGUCGCACGCACGCCAGUGACUCACCCUCUCGGAAGGGGGUGGGAUUUACUCGACCAUCUCCCCACUGCGCUCCCUCCCUACACCCCUGUCCCAGCAGCGGCUGGGCAGAGGGCCAGUCUGCAGUGUCUAGGCUGAGUGUGUGGGGACCGCCAGCUCGGCGUGGGUCAGGGCGCUAGGGUUUACAGCGCUAGGGUUUACAGACUCGGACUUGAGUCCCUGACAUGUGAAUUUGGGUGAGACCUAACUCGCCCUCUGUCCUCAAUUGCUUCCUGUAAACUGCUAAUAACACCCAUUCCAAGAGUUGUGAAGGUUACACUAGAGGCUGUAAGCGUUAGGGCAGCGCCAGGCACAAGGUAAAUGCUUAAUAAAAGGCAGCUGCUAUUAUUAAUUACAACUCCAGCCUGGAGAUCCUGACCUGGUGCUGACCCCGCGCUCACAGGUUGGGGAAUCUUCAGGGUCAAAGAGGAAAAGUCCCGCUCACGCGGUAGAGGGAGAUUGGUGCGCCCCCCUCUGCCCCCAGCCGCUCUCUGGACCCCUGAUCCAGUCCCUCUGCAGCCCCGAGACCCGCUCCAGACCCUCGGCCUUCCCACUACGGCCCGCCGGAGGCCAGGUUGUGCUUUCGGGCCGGCGGGGACUGGAGCAGGGCCCGGUCACUCCCCUGAGCUCGAGUCCUGGGAACCGCCCCGCGCCCCCUCCAACCCCCCUCCUUGCGGGGCGGGCCGGCCCUGGGGCGCCUUAAAAACCGGAGCUGGUCCUCGGGUCGCCGCCGCUUUGAGCAGGAUCCAACGUCGCUACGGUUAUCCUGAAGCACCUCGCAGACCCCAACAGCCAUGGCCAGCAAAGGCUUGCAGGACCUGACGCAGCAAGUGCAGGGGGCGGCCCAGGAAGCGGUGACGGCGGCUGGAGCAGCAACUCAGCAAGUGGUGGAUGAGACCACAGAGACAGGGCAGAAAGCCAUGGACCAGGUUGCCAAGUCUACCCAGGAAACCAUCGACAAGACUGCUAACCAGGCCUCUGAGGCUUUCUCGGGUUUGGGGAAAAUACUCCGCCUCCUGAAAUGACAGAAGGGAGACAUGGGUGACUCCCUUCCAGGCCCGGAGCUCUAGCAGGCUCUUGGCGGGCCACCUCAUUAAAGCACAUAUGCCUACUCUGUGUCCACUGAAUGCCUCCUCCCAAACUGGGCCCAGCCCUCCCUCACUUAGAGCAGAGGCUCAGGUAUCCAGAAACUCAGCCCUGACGUCCAGAGUCCUGGCAUUCCAAAUUCGGAAACCCAGACGGAUUGUCCAAUAACUCAUUUCCCAUGUCUUAACCGUGCGUCCAGACUCCCACUUAUCCGAAGUUCAACCCCCCCAUCUAGAUACGUGACCCUCUCCCGCUCUAUUGCCCCUGCCCCCGAUUCCAAAACCGCUCCCUCAGCUCCAGGAACCCGCCCCUUCCUAGGAGGGGGAUACUCGGUGCCCAUAUCCUCGAGGAGCUCAGGUCUGGGCGGGGGCCUCAGGAACUUCUCCCAGUGAGCUAAGCCCGGGGCGGGGGGCUGGAAGCAUCGAGGCAUCCCAGGGCCAGGCGCCCUCGAGGACUUAAGGGGGCAGGAAUUCUUGGGGAAGAAGGGGGACACAGGGACGGAGCUUUUGGCCAUCAUCACCCUACACCGCCCGCCCGGUGCUUGCGCGACUGUCGCAGCCGACGGUGAGUCACGGGGCCGGACCGGGAGGGCGAGGACACGCCCCGAAGAUCUGAGUCCCACCCAGUUGUGUUUGGCGCGGUCGCCAGGAGCUCCGCCCAAGACGCGCCUCCUUGGGAGGUGCCUGCGGCGCACGGGGCGGUGCACGUGGGCGCGGCGCACGUGGGCGUGAAGCGCUGGGACCCGGCUGUGUGCGUGCGCGCGCUAGGCCACUCCCUCGGGUACCCCUUCCCUUCCGGAUGCGCCUGUACUUUCUGGCCCAGCGCGGAGGUCGACUUUUUUAUCGGGCAGGUUUCCCUAGAGGGUCUAGAGUUCGCUUAAACCUUAUUCCCUCCGACCUCCCCAGCACGUGUCCACGUGUCCAUGCACGCGAUACCAACCCUGGGUAUCCCUUUGAUGUGCCCUCUGAUUUUUUCCGGAACCCCGACUGACACCCAUGGAUGUAUGAGUGCUGAUAUGCUGGGGAAGUCUUCCUUUGGUGACUGACAAACCGAGUCUCCAGGAGUCUAGUCUCCCUGUGGCUGGGAGGGGUCUGUAUGUGCAAGGGACUCUCCAGAUUGUUUAAGACUUGAUCUACUCCUGCCAGUGGCACGUGUGGGGCUGUGACCUUGUGACCCAGAGUUCCUGCUGCCCACAGCAUCCCCUGCCCACCCCAGGCGGGCCGGCCACUGCCCAGGGCUCCCGGUACCACUCAGGAAUGUGGGAGGGCCUCAGCUCCAUAAAGCCUGUGUCAGGGUCCCAGGAGAUGGGGUAUAUGGGUCUCAUGCUGCCAGAGAGGCACUGCCCCAGCCACAACGCUGGGGUGGCUCCACCCAGCCUCUUCCUCCUGCCGUCUGUGCUGACUCACCACCAGGGCCAGGGCUUGUGCCUCAGAGCCCAGCCAGGCAUCUAUAAAAGCAGACUGGUUCAGGCCCCAGCAUCCUGCUUGAUUACCACCUGUCGCCGCACAAUGUUGGGAGGCCUGGGGAAGCUUGCCGCCGAGGGUCUGGCCCACCGCACCGAGAAGGCCACCGAGGAAGCUGUUGACUUCGUGGAGGGAGUGGUGAAGGAGGUGGUGAAGCCUGCCAAGGAGGCUGGAGAGAAUGCCAUUGCUGGAGCUUUAAAGAAGACCCAUGAGACAAGGGACAAAGUGGUAAAGGAAGUCACUGAGACGGUGACCAACACAGUCACAAAUGCUGUCACGCACGCAGCGGAAGGCCUGGGCAAACUGGGACAGUGAGCAUGCCUGCCACCAGCAGGCUCUUCCUGAAUCGCAAUAAAAAGCUGUGAAAUGUG